AUUGAACGCUGGCGGCAUGCUUUACACAUGCAAGUCGAACGGCAGCACGGGCUUCGGCCUGGUGGCGAGUGGCGAACGGGUGAGUAAUAUAUCGGAACGUACCCAGAAGUGGGGGAUAACGUAGCGAAAGUUACGCUAAUACCGCAUACGAUCUAUGGAUGAAAGCAGGGGACCGCAAGACCUUGUGCUCCUGGAGCGGCCGAUAUCUGAUUAGCUAGUUGGUGAGGUAAAGGCUCACCAAGGCGACGAUCAGUAGCUGGUCUGAGAGGACGACCAGCCACACUGGAACUGAGACACGGUCCAGACUCCUACGGGAGGCAGCAGUGGGGAAUUUUGGACAAUGGGCGCAAGCCUGAUCCAGCAAUGCCGCGUGAGUGAAGAAGGCCUUCGGGUUGUAAAGCUCUUUUGUCAGGGAAGAAACGGUAGAGGCUAAUAUCCUUUGCUAAUGACGGUACCUGAAGAAUAAGCACCGGCUAACUACGUG
rnacentral:rRNA from 1 species